rnacentral:lncRNA from 1 species
GGAGCUAGUUGCUUUGAUCUUUCAAAGUGCUUCAUUUCCAGUUUUUGGAACCCACACUAGAUCAUUACUUGAUGGGAAGAAGUGACAGAUAGGUGAUGCUCCUGGUAAUACACCGAGCACUCGGAAAGAUACAUGAGAUGGAUCCCAUUCAGAUGUAUCCAAGUGACAUACAGCAAUUGAUUCCACUGUAUCACCAUUUGCUUCAUUCCUCAAUGAAACUUUGGACACCUUUCUUUCAUCGCUAAUCGUGUGAUGACAAUAGAAAACCGUGUAAUCACAAGACAGGAUAUGACACAUCACCAUCUUAGGAGCGGAAACUUCUUGUGGAACAUCCACAAUAGUAUAGUUCUGUGGGUGAGGAGUUGAGUCCUCGUUUGAGAAAUGAGUUGUUGUGGAUAGAGUUUUGACUUGGGUUUUCUCUCCCAUGAUCUCGUGAACAAAGUCGAGCAUUCCCUCCGCGGAUGUGGCACAGUACUGUGUCUCUCCCGUUAUAGGUGAUGAUAAUUCACAUAUUCUCAAUGCAUCUUCCAUGGAUUUAGCCUGUGGAGAGUUUUCAGACAACGAGAAACGUUGAAGAAGGUUUUGGAGUUCCUUGAAUGAAAAUGGAAUGGAAUCGGCUGCUUUUUUGGGAAAGAAAUUUUGCGGGGAAUUAGAAGGAGAAGAAAUUAGAUUUAUUCUUUUUUGAAAGGAGAGAGUUACUGUUUUCCCCAUCUUUAGAUCAUCCUGAAGGAAGAAAAUUGAUGCUAUCGAAGGAUCAUCCAUAUGUGUAUGGGAUGAUGAAUGCAUUAUAUGUUCAUUCCUUCUUUUCACUUGCUCGUUGUUUCCCUCUUUAUCAAAAAAGAGGGGAAUCGCCAGCUUUUUGUUACCGGAAAUCUCUUGCUGAUGAUUGUGUUCGGAAUGAAUAUGUACAUUCUCUUUCUUCACUUGCUCAUCAUUGGCCUGUUUAUAAAAAAAGAAGGGAAUCGCCAACUUUUUGUUACCGGAAAUCUCUUGCUGAUGAUUGUGUUCGGAAUGAAUAUGUUCAUUCUCUUUCUUCACUUGCUCAUCAUUGGCCUGUUUAUAAAAAAAGAAGGGAAUGGUCAGCUUUUUGUUACCAGAUAUCUCUUGCUGAUGAUUGUCUUCAGCUCCGUAAAUCGCUUUUAAUGCUUGCUGAUGGUUGUCUUCAGAAUGGAUAUGUUUGUUCUCUUUCUUCACUUGCUCAUCGUUGUCCUGUUUAUAAAAAAUGAAGGGAGGCACCAGCUUUCCAUUACCGGAAAUCGAUUGCUGAUGAUUGUCUUCAGAUCCAUAAAUCGCUUUUAAUGCUUGCUGAUUACCGUCUUCAGAAUUUCCUUGA